rnacentral:rRNA from 1 species
UACGUAGGGGGCAAGCGUUGUCCGGAUUUAUUGGGCGUAAAGAGCGUGUAGGCGGCCAGGUAGGUCCGUUGUGAAAACUCGAGGCUCAACCUCGAGACGCCGAUGGAAACCAUCUGGCUAGAGUCCGGAAGAGGAGAGUGGAAUUCCCGGUGUAGCGGUGAAAUGCGCAGAUAUCGGGAAGAACACCCGUGGCUAAGGCGGCUCUCUAGUACGGUACUGACGCUGAGGCGCGAAAGCGUGGGGAGCGAACAGG